rnacentral:rRNA from 1 species
AACGAACGCUGGCGGCAGGCUUAACACAUGCAAGUCGAGCGCCCUGCUUGCAGGGAGCGGCAGACGGGUGAGUAACGCGUGGGAAUCUACCCAGCUCUACGGAAUAACACAUGGAAACGUGUGCUAAUACCGUAUACGUCCUUCGGGAGAAAGAUUUAUCGGAGUUGGAUGAGCCCGCGUUAGAUUAGCUAGUUGGUGGGGUAAUGGCCUACCAAGGCGACGAUCUAUAGCUGGUCUGAGAGGAUGAUCAGCCACACUGGGACUGAGACACGGCCCAGACUCCUACGGGAGGCAGCAGUGGGGAAUAUUGGACAAUGGGCGCAAGCCUGAUCCAGCCAUGCCGCGUGAGUGAUGAAGGCCUUAGGGUUGUAAAGCUCUUUCAACGGUGAAGAUAAUGACGGUAACCGUAGAAGAAGCCCCGGCUAACUUCG